rnacentral:rRNA from 1 species
GUUGCGGCCAUGGGUUUGCCUGUGGCCACGCCUGUCCGAGGGUCGGCUUAUAACCUAUCACGACGCCCAAAAAGUCGUGGCUUGGGUCUUGCCAGCCGGCAUGAUUUCCCCGCACGUUUGUGUGGGGUGCCGGAUCUGUGGCUUUUCCCCAAUGUGCCGGACGCAACCAUGUCUGGGCUGACUGCCUAGAUGAGGGGGUGGCGGCGGAGUCGUGGCUCAAUUGUUAUUGUUGUGGAUGUGCGCGCUCCGUUGUUGCUCCUUUGUCUUUGGUUGAGGCUCCAGUAGUGGCAAUGCAUUCGAUGCAAAUCUGUUUUGCACUUCCGUGCUUAACUUUCCUGACCUCGGAUCAGACGUGAUUACCCGCUGAAUUUAAGCAUG